rnacentral:rRNA from 1 species
GACGAACGCUGGCGGCGUGCUUAACACAUGCAAGUCGAACGGAAAGGCCCUGCUUGUGUGGGGUGCUCGAGUGGCGAACGGGUGAGUAACACGUGAGUAACCUGCCCUAGACUUUGGGAUAACUUCAGGAAACUGGGGCUAAUACCGGAUAGGAGCUCCUGCGGCAUGGGGGGGGUUGGAAAGUUUCGGCGGUUGGGGAUGGACGCGCGGCUUACCAGCUUGUUGGGGGGGUAGUGGCUUACCAAGGCUUUGACGGGUAGCCGGCCUGGGGGGGUGACCGGCCACAUUGGGCCUGAGAUACGCCCCAGACUCCUACGGGAGGCAGCAGUGGGGAAUAUUGCACAAUGGGCGGAAGCCUGUUGCGGCAACGCCGCGUGCGGGAUGACGGCCUUCGGUUUGUAAACCGCUUUCGCCUGUGCCGAAGCGUGAGUGACGGUAAUGGGUAAAGAAGCACCGGCUAACUACGUG